CCUACGGGAGGCAGCAGUGGGGAAUAUUGGACAAUGGGCGCAAGCCUGAUCCAGCAAUGCCGCGUGUGUGAAGAAGGCCUUCGGGUUGUAAAGCACUUUUAUCAGGAGCGAAAUGCCGCGGGCUAAUACCCUGCGGAGCUGACGGUACCUGAGGAAUAAGCACCGGCUAACUUCGUGCCAGCAGCCGCGGUAAUACGAAGGGUGCAAGCGUUAAUCGGAAUUACUGGGCGUAAAGCGUGCGUAGGCGGUUACUUAAGUCUGCUGUGAAAUCCCUGGGCUCAACCUGGGAAUGGCGGUGGAUACUGGGUAGCUAGAGUGUGAUAGAGGAUGGUGGAAUUCCCGGUGUAGCGGUGAAAUGCGUAGAGAUCGGGAGGAACACCAGUGGCGAAGGCGGCCAUCUGGAUCAACACUGACGCUGAGGCACGAAAGCGUGGGGAGCAAACAGGAUUAGAUACCCUGGUAGUCCACGCCCUAAACGAUGCGAACUGGACGUUGGUCUCAACUUGGAGAUCAGUGUCGAAGCUAACGCGUUAAGUUCGCCCGCCUGGGGAGUACGGUCGCAAGACUGAAACUCAAAUGAAUUUGACGG
rnacentral:rRNA from 1 species